AGAGACUCCGUGGUUUAAUACCCACGGACGAUGACAUUAGCUGCAGAAUAAGCACCGGCUAACUCUGUGCCAGCAGCCGCGGUAAUACAGAGGGUGCAAGCGUUAAUCGGAAUUACUGGGCGUAAAGCGAGCGUAGGUGGCUUGAUAAGUCAGAUGUGAAAUCCCCGGGCUUAACCUGGGAACUGCAUCUGAUACUGUUAGGCUAGAAUAGGUGAGAGGAAGGUAGAAUUCCAGGUGUAGCGGUGAAAUGCGUAGAGAUCUGGAGGAAUACCGAUGGCGAAGGCAGCCUUCUGGCAUCAUAUUGACACUGAGGUUCGAAAGCGUGGGUAGCAAACAGGAUUAGAUACCCUGGUAGUCCACGCCGUAAACGAUGUCUACUAGUCGUUGGGUCCCUUGAGGACUUAGUGACGCAGCUAACGCAAUAAGUAGACCGCCUGGGGAGUACGGCCGCAAGGUUAAAACUCAAAUGAAUUGACGGGGGCCCGCACAAGCGGUGGAGCAUGUGGUUUAAUUCGAUGCAACGCGAAGAACCUUACCUGGUCUUGACAUAUCUAGAAUCCUGCAGAGAUGCGGGAGUGCCUUCGGGAAUUAGAAUACAGGUGCUGCAUGGCUGUCGUCAGCUCGUGUCGUGAGAUGUUGGGUUAAGUCCCGCAACGAGCGCAACCCUUGUCCUUAGUUACCAGCGGGUUAAGCCGGGAACUCUAAGGAUACUGCCAGUGACAAACUGGAGGAAGGCGGGGACGACGUCAAGUCAUCAUGGCCCUUACGACCAGGGCUACACACGUGCUACAAUGGUAGGUACAGAGGGCAGCUACACAGCGAUGUGAUGCGAAUCUCAAAAAGCCUAUCGUAGUCCAGAUUGGAGUCUGCAACUCGACUCCAUGAAGUAGGAAUCGCUAGUAAUCGCGGAUCAGAAUGCCGCGGUGAAUACGUUCCCGGGCCUUGUACACACCGCCC
rnacentral:rRNA from 1 species